rnacentral:rRNA from 1 species
GACGAACGCUGGCGGCGUGCCUAAUACAUGCAAGUCGAACGCAGUGGGGACGGGUGAGUAACACGUGGGUAACCUCCCAUCAGAGGGGAUAACACUUGGAAAAAGGUGCUAAACCGAUACUGAUGGAUGAACCCGCGGUGCAUUAGCUAGUUGGUGAGGUAACGGCUCACCAAGGCCACGAUGCAGAACCGGCCUGAGCGGGUGAUCGGCCACACGGGGACGAGGAAACGGCCCAGACUCCUACGGGAGGCAGCAGUAGGGAAUCUUCGGCAAUGGACGAAAGCCUGACCGAGAAAUGCCGCGUGAGUGAAGAAGGUUUUCGGAUCGUAAAACUCUGUUGUUAGGGAAGCGGUAUCUAACCAGAAAGCCACGGCUAACUACGUGCCAGCAGCCGCGGUAAUUC